UUUGUCAAAUGCUAAUUAUAUAAAUUCUUUUAAUAUAUUAAUACAUUUUGGCUGACAAGUUGUAUCUUGGAGAGAAACAAACUCUCCAGCCGGACAUCUUGAGCUCCUCAUUUUCCAUUCAAGUUCACUUCGUCCUAUUCAAGUUCACUUCGUCCCAGCUCAGUUUAAGUUCGAUUCAACUCAUCUUGAUUUGGGUAACUGUUUCCGGAUGGAAACUAUACCUUCUAGACUGGAUAUGGAGAUUGUCACGACCCAAAUUCCAUUAAAGGUCGUCAUGGCGUCGGCCAGCACUGUCAGAUACAAGUGGAUUGGUGGUGGAAUCGAGAGGUAAAGUGGUA